UUGAAGAGAGUGGGGAAGGGGCCUUCAGGGGGUCCCUGCAGGAAGGGAGCGCAGAGGCAGCGGCCGGCCCAGCGAGCAUCAUCAGUCUUCUCUGAAGCUGUACUCUUCUCUGGCUCUGCUGACACCUUUCCUAGCAAGGAAGUGGUAUAAAAUGCUUGCUGAUGGGCACCUGCCCCAGGACUUCCCACUCACCAUUGUUGUUGAGCUCUUGGGGUUUCCAAGAUACCUGUGGCUCUCAAGCCCUCCCUUCUGUCCCUGCCCCCUGCAGAGAAUGAUCUGGAAGGAUUCUCUGUUUUGGAAUCUUUGAGAGCUGUUCUACUUUCAUUUCUGUUGCUCUGAUGAAACAACCUACGAAAAAACCAGCUUAAUAGAGAAGAGAUUAUUUUAGCUCUACCACUUGAGGUUACUAUCUGUGACUAUGGGGUUGUCAUAGGAGGGCACAGCUAAUCACAUCACAUCCAUGGUCAGUCAAGAGCAGAGAUACAGGGAUGCAUGUAGUUUACUUGGUUGCCCUGCUAGAUUUCUCCACUCUUAUGUAGCUUAGGGAAUGGUGCCACCCAUGGUGGGCAAAGUCUUUCCACAUCAAUUGCCUUAAGAAAAUCCCACAGAGAUGCUGGACAGCUAAAUGUAAGUAAUCCCUCCCUCACAGAGAUUAUUUUUCCAAGUGAGUCUAGGUUGUGUCAAGUUGAUAGUUAAAGUUAGCCAUCCUAAAAGUCACGGGGUCCUAGGAAACAAGGAAAGGUCCUCAGAAAACGCACUUAUCCCCAGUUCUUCCCCCAGAGCUGGAUAUCUUGUACCUGCAUCCCUCCCUAAGAUGCCGAAGACACUCUUAGUCUACAGGUUCAACACCGUGAACCACCCCUUCCUACCAACGAGGCUCAAGAGAACCAGAGAAGUAGAGAGACAUAUAGGUAGCGUCAAAAUGAGGAAAGAGGCUGUCAUAGUUUUUACCAGCUUGACACAUAACUGGGUGGGGAACUCAGUAGAGGAACUGCCACCAUUAGAUUGAUCCAUGGGCACAUCUGUGGGGUAUUUUCUUAAUUGCCAACGGAUGUAGGAGGGUCUAGCCCACUGUGGAUGGUGCCAUCUUUGCAUAGAUAGGCCUGAGCGGUGUAAGAAAAGCAAUCUGUGGAAGCUAAGCCCGAAUGCCAGAAAACAGUGUUCCUCCACGAUCUGUGCUUCUGUUUCUGCCUCCAGGUUCCUUCAUUGGUUUCCCUGGAUGAUGGGCUGUAACCUCUAACCAAGCAGAGUAUCUCUCUUCCUCUCUCCCACUCUGAGACAGAUUCCCUCUGACUCUCAGAGUCUCACUAGACCUACCAGGCUGCUGUGGAGCCCACUCUGCUGCCUUUGUUUUGUGGUAGGGUUUCCCUGUAUAGCUCAGGGUGGCUUUAAACUUACGAACAUACUGCCUUUAUCCCCCACAAGUGCUUGAGUAUAGACCCACUUGUGUGUCACCCUGGUGGCUUCGGCCCUGUGUGUUGGUUAUGUUUUAUGUCCCUAUGUAAGCUAUGGUAUAGAGAUAUUUCUCUCUCUCAUAUAAGUGUGAGUGUGUGUGUGUGUGUGUGUUGCAUAUAUUAUCCUGUGUGUGU